CUCUCGGGUGAGUACAAAGGAAGCGUCCGUUCCGAACCCGGAAGCUAAGCCUUACAGCGCCGAUGGUACUGCAGGGGGGACCCUGUGGGAGAGUAGGACGCCGCCGAAC
rfam:Streptomyces phaeoluteigriseus strain DSM 41896 Scaffold_15, whole genome shotgun sequence.